rnacentral:rRNA from 1 species
AUUGAACGCUGGCGGCAGGCUUAACACAUGCAAGUCGAGCGGAGAUGAGGUGCUUGCACCUUAUCUUAGCGGCGGACGGGUGAGUAAUGCUUAGGAAUCUGCCUAUUAGUGGGGGACAACAUUCCGAAAGGAAUGCUAAUACCGCAUACGUCCUACGGGAGAAAGCAGGGGAUCUUCGGACCUUGCGCUAAUAGAUGAGCCUAAGUCGGAUUAGCUAGUUGGUGGGGUAAAGGCCUACCAAGGCGACGAUCUGUAGCGGGUCUGAGAGGAUGAUCCGCCACACUGGGACUGAGACACGGCCCAGACUCCUACGGGAGGCAGCAGUGGGGAAUAUUGGACAAUGGGGGGAACCCUGAUCCAGCCAUGCCGCGUGUGUGAAGAAGGCCUUAUGGUUGUAAAGCACUUUAAGCGAGGAGGAGGCUACUGAGACUAAUACUCUUGGAUAGUGGACGUUACUCGCAGAAUAAGCACCGGCUAACUUCGUGCCAGCAGCCGCCGUAA